UUAAUCCCUCAGUAAACUGGUUGUGUUAAUCCCUCAGUAAACUGAUUGUGUUAAUCCCUCAGUAAACUGGUUGUGUUAAUCUCUCAGUAAACUGGUUGUGUUAAUCUCUCAGUAAACUGGUUGUGUUAAUCCCUCAGAAAGCAGGUUGUGUUAAUCUCUCAGUAAACUGGUUGUGUUAAUCCCUCAGAAAGCAGGUUGUGUUAAUCCCUCAGUAAACUGGUUGUGUUAAUCCCUCAUAAAUCAGGUUGUGUUAAUCCCUCAGGAACCAGGUUGUGUUAAUCCCUCAGUAAACUGGUUGUGUUAAUCCCUCAGUAACCAGGUUGUGUUAAUCCCUCAGAAAACUGGUUGUGUUAAUCCCCUCAGGAACCAGGUUGUGUUAAUCCCUCAGGAACCAGGUUGUGUUAAUCCCUCAGUAAACAGGUUGUGUUAAUC